rnacentral:rRNA from 1 species
AGCUCCAAUAGCGUAUAUUAAAGUUGUUGCGGUUAAAAGCUCGUAGUUGGAUCUCGGCAGGCAGGGGGUGGUUCGCUCCUUAGCGCUACUGCCCCAUUUGCCUGUGUGAUUGAUAGAGGUUUCGGGGUGCUCUUCGUUGAGUGACCCGGAGCGCUAUCAGGUUUACUUUGAAAAAUUAGAGUGUUCAAAGCAGGCCUACGCUUGAAUACAUUAGCAUGGAAUAAUGGAAUAGGACUUUGGUGCUAUUUUGUUGGUUUCGAACACCGAAGUAAUGAUUAACAGGGACAGUCAGGGGCACUCGUAUUCCGUCGAGAGAGGUGAAAUUCUCAGACCAAUGGAAGACGAACAACUGCGAAAGCAUUUGCCAGGGAUGUUUUCA